rnacentral:rRNA from 1 species
CAUGCAAGUCGAACGGGCAUAGCAAUAUGUCAGCGGCAGACGGGUGAGUAACGCCCCGGAACGUACCUUUUGGUUCGUAACAACUGAGGGAAACUUCAGCUCUUUUCGGAUAAGCCCUUACGGGGAAAGAUUUAUCGCCGAAAGAUCGGCCCGCGUCUGAUUAGCUAGUUGGUGAGGUAAUGGCUCACCAAGGCGACGAUCAGUAGCUGGUCUGAGAGGAUGAUCAGCCACAUUGGGACUGAGACACGGCCCAAACUCCUACGGGAGGCAGCAGUGGGGAAUAUUGGACAAUGGGCGCAAGCCUGAUCCAGCCAUGCCGCGUGAGUGAUGAAAGCCCUAGGGUUGUAAAGCUCUUUUGUGCGGGAAGAUAAUGACCGUACCGCAGGAAUAAGCCCCGGCUAACUUCGUGCCAACACCCGCGGUAAUACGAAGGGGGCUAGCGUUGCUCGGAAUCACUGGGCGUAAAAGGUGCGUAAGCGGGUCUUUAAGUCAGGGGUGAAAACCUGGAGCUCCACUCCAGAACUGCCUUUGGUACUGAAGAUCUUGAGGUCCGGAAAGGUGAGUGGAACUUCCAGUGGAAAGGUGAAAAUCGUAAAAAUUCGCAAAGACACCUCUGGCGAAGGCGGCUCACUGGGCCGAAACUGACCCUGAGGCACCAAAGCCUGGGGAGCAAACAGGGUUAUAUAACCCGGGGGGCCCCCCCGUAAACGAAGAAUGCCACCCGUUCAUGGGUUUACUCCCUAGUGGGGCAGCUAACGCUUUAAGCAUUCCGCCUGGGGAGGACGGUCUCAAGGAUAAAACUCAAAGGAAGUGACGGGGGCCCGCACAAGCCGUGGAGCAUGUGGUUUAAUUCUUCGCCACCCGCAGAACCUUACCAGCCCUUGACAUCCCGGUCGCGGA